GAUUAUGUUGUGGUGACAACUUUCUCUUUUUUAUCUUUAUUUAUUUGCCUAUGGAUUUCAUCUGCCCUUCAUUCAUUCUUCAACAAUGUUCAUAAGAAUUAUCGUGUAAACCUUAACCAACUUUUGGCUAAUGCAUGGGGUGUUUUGGUCGAGUUUUUCUUUCUAUACUAGGAAAAAGGAUUUACACCUUUUCUGAAUCUAUUUAUUUGUAAUCCAAAAUAAAUAAAUAGUUGGUUUUAUCUUACUAAGUGGAAGAAAGUGUAUGAAGGGAUGAAAGAAAUUAUAAUUGCCGAUAAGGAUGGGUUUGUGGUUAUUAAGAGAAAGAGAGAAGUUGAUUGGGGCCCUAGGUAUAUAGAUAUGAACAAGUUUACUCCUGUUUUUGGUGAAGAGAAUAAGGCUAUGGAGAUCUUUCUGCAAUGAAGAUUUCGUUUUAAGGAAAUUUUGACAAGAUAGAAGGUUUGAGAAUAUUUCCUAGGUUGGAAAACUGGUGUGGUUUCAAGGGGAAUCCUAGUUCAACUUGGUGUGCCACCAGGGAAGAAUGUGGUUUGCUCGUGUAUAUAUUUUUGUUUGUGUUCUUAAUUAUACCAUGUAGUGAUCGUAAUAUGACAUUGUUUGCUCAAGGAGAAUAAGACGAGGGUCUAUUUCCAAUUUAUGUUGUAAGGGUUUAGUAUGUCUUUCGAGUCACUACAUUUCCCUCACUUUUUCUAUCACUUACGGCUAUUGGUUGGAGUUUGCGACCAUUUUUCAGCAUAAGUGAAGGUUUUUUACUAUUACCUCUUCUUCAAGGGAUAAUCCAAGUGGUAGAUCUGAUGAGGAUGAGGUUCCAUUGACGUUAGGAACCAAUUAAGAAGCAUGAGGCAGUCAAAAAAGGGAGAGCCACUAGUAUCUCCAAAUGCAUAUGGGAUAAGCUAAGUUUUGACUAGUCAUUAUAUAAAACAUGUUCCAACAGGGAGAAUGAGCAAACUAAGGGAAAAGGUGCAACAAAAGAGCGUUGAAAAAAGAAGAGAGAUAACCAUGGUGAAGCUUGCACCAAUUCCAUCUGCAACAAGAGAAAUAUUGUUUUUAAGACACUUGUUAGUUUAGAUGAGGAUAAGGGGAAGUCUGUUGUAGAUCAGACUGUCGGUGAAGUUGUUAUCAAUGAGAAAACCGAUUGUGAUUGGUUAACAAGUGUCUAGACUAGGGUUGGAUCCAUGGGUGCAAAUUGGUGCUCUCAACCUGCUUAACUUCGUAGCAAUCACUGUGGAAGAGGAAGGAGGUGACGUCACGCCAAAGUGCAACAGAAAUAGAAAACAAUUUCUUGAAAAAGAAUGAAGCAGAAAAGGUCUUGUUGAAGUCACAAGAGCUAAAUUUGAAGGUGGCACAGAGAGACUUGAGUAAAUAACUGCAACCGAACAUGAGUUGAAGGCAGAGCUUACUAAGGUGCACUAGUUCACCAAUUUGGUAGCAACUCAGCAUGCUACUGGCAUAGAGAAACUUCACAUAGAGGCUAAGCCAACAAAGAAGAAAAUUUGAAACCUUUAUAGGUAAUUGCAAGAAGAGAGAACCGGGAAUGAGGAGGUUAUGUUAGUUGCCAAAGUAUAUCAUGAGGCCACUUCAAUGGAGGUGCAAUUUUUAUAUUGACCUUUGGACUGGUCGAAUGUGUUUUUGUUUAAAGACCUCAAAUUAAUUUUCAUGGACUACAAUGCUGUCAACCCUUUUGAGGAGGAACUUGAGGAAAUAUGGCCCAGGUUGCUAGAGAUUUUCCCAAGGUUGAUGGUGUCAAUAUUGUUUCUAAGUCUUCUAUUAAUGUUGCUACCAUCGUUUGAUCCAAGCUCCAUGUUAAACGAUACAAUUGCUAAUUAUUCAUCGCCUUCAAAGGGUUGAAAGUUUUGUUUUUUUGUUGAAUUUGUUGGCAUGUUUUCCAUUUGGAUGUUGGAGAGACUAAAUACCCUAAAUGUUUGAACUCCAUUAUUGGGUUAAGGGAGCCCCAUAUAUAUAUAAAUGCAUUAUCCUAUAUUA